UUGACCUCGGAUCAGGUAGGGAUACCCGCUGAACUUAAA
rnacentral:rRNA from 1 species